UACGAGGGGGGCGAGCGUUGUUCGGAAUUAUUGGGCGUGAAGGGCGCGUAGGCGGCGCCACAAGUCACUUGUGAAAACUCUGGGCUCAACUCAGAGCCUGCAAGCGAAACUGUGGUGCUUGAGUGUGGGAGAGGCGCGUGGAAUUGCAGGUGUAGCGGUGAAAUGCGUAGAUAUCUGCAGGAGCACCCGUGGCGAAAGCGGCGCGCUGGACCACUACUGACGCUGAGGAACGAAAGCUAGGGGAGCAAACAGG
rnacentral:rRNA from 1 species